GCGGCUGACACGUGUCCGUGUUAAUGAAACGCAGCGAUUCAUUAUUUAGGCUACCGUCUGGGCUUUGAGUAAUACUAUUGGGCUUAACAGGCUGACACAUGUCUUUGUAUACUAAACUCUGCGUUUCGGUUUAAAAGGAACUAAGAAACUAAGCGUCAUGUUUUGUCGUUUCAUUUUCUUCAUUCAUUAACUCUAUGAAAAUUCUUAACUCCAUCAACUCAAAUCAAGCGCAAUGAAUUCAAUGAUCCUUUAUCUCUUCAAGACUGUGUUUCUCAAUCUAUAAAAAGGUAUUUGCAUACCUAGAACAUCAUUCCUCAGUUCAUGAAAAUCCAAAAUAAACACAAUAUUUGAUGGCCGCCGCUGAUCUUUUAUUGUCGAGGUGUUUUUCUCAUGUGAAAAUCAAACGGUGGCACGUUGAUGGGAGUGGAGAUGCUCCUCCUUGAUUCGAAGUAGAGCCACCGUAAGGGUUCACCGUCUCGCCGCUCAAGGCUGGUUCAAUGUUCACACUCUAGCUCCUUGAUUCAAAUGCUACAGAGUUCAAAGAUGAUCUAUAAAGUUGAUGAACCAAAACGAGCCCACCAAAUUAUCAGAAGCGGUAGAUGAAAGAGAGGGAGAGGAGGAGAAGAAAUAAGAACUUGGUCUCGCGUACCAGGAUCGGCCGGGGGACAGAGGUUUGACGAAAGAUGGUGAUGGGGAGUUUAAAAUAAGAUGAUGUUCGUUAGUGAUUCUUUGAACCCGAAGAAUGUAUUUCUCUUUCUAUGCUUAGAUUCCAAAUCCCAGAAAGUUCAAAAUCCAAAGACAUGUUUGAUUUCUUCACCCUCUUCUCUCUCAAGGAUUACAAUGCAGCCAUUCUGUUCUAUUAUGCACCGGUUCUUCCACAAUAUAAUUGAGAUAAUGAUACUGUUCACUGGCCAGUUGUUGACAUAGUUUUGUUCAACACAUAUUUUGGUGGAUUAUAUACUAGACUUUUUAAAAAGUAGUGAAUACAAUCACUUGGAGAGGAAUCGGAUCUAACUAUCUUUGCUUCCUUAUCUUGAAUUCCAUCUAAGGUGGAUAUGAACCUUCGUGGCCUGGCUUAAUUGUAAACUUUUGGUUGCUUCUGAAACAAUGACUCGAGCUUUCUUCAACUUCCUCUAAAAGUUUAUAUGUUGCUUGGAGUAUAUUUUUAUUAUUACUUUUGUGAUAUGACUAAUGAUGGUGAUGACUGGCAAGUUCUUUAGAAGGGAUGUAAAAUAUUUUCACAGCUAAUUUCAAAAUCUCUUCUUAGCAAAAAAAAAAUAAGUCUUUUCCAAUCAUGAGUUACAAAGAUUUUUAAAACUAUUGUUACAUGGGAUCUAGAAAGCAAAAUACUACAUCACUUAUAUAUUGGCUUCAGAAAAUUUACAGUCAGAAUACUUUUUUUCUUCCAAAACUAAAACCAAGAUUGCAGGAAAAAAAUGUAUAGCUUAGAAAAGACGUUACCAACUCAAAUAACAAAACCUAAAACAAUAAAUAAGGCAUGGUGAUAUAUUGGCAUUUGGUAACUAUAUACAAACCACAUCAAAUAUAAAUACCAUAUAAUUAAGACAAAAAGAAGUAUACACAUAUACAUGUAGAGUUAACGAAUAUAGAUUUGAAAUUGAAAAAAAAUUGUGAAAAUAUUAAUAAAUAGCAAACUAAUCAUUUUAAAACACUCAAUAAAAUUAAUAAUAUAUUAUGUAAUUUUUCAGUUACUAACUUGCCCGUAGAGCGGGCCAAACCCUAGACUAAUGUAUAAUUAAAACAUAAGUUAUUCAACAAAAAAAAAAAUUGAAACCUUUUAACAAGAAAAAAAAUAUGUUAAAAAUCAUA